rnacentral:rRNA from 1 species
AUGACCCUCCGUUCUGUUCUCCUCCACCGCUCCUUCACGUCGACGUGCUCGCACCGAGUACCGCGUCCACCCCCAAUCCUCUUUGUUGCGCAAGACCGCAGAAGGACGAACGGCAGCGGUCCGAGCGCCGCCUCCUCCGCCAGCGGCAACGGUGAACACGGGAGCAGCGGCCCCGUUCGCCCGUUCCAAGGUGAGGAACGGACCCCCUCGACCUGUCCUCUACGGCGCCGCUCCCCUUCCUCCGUUUCCUUGAUCGCGGGCGGUGGGAGGAUACCCGGGGGAACAGAGGAGGGAGUUGGACAAGGGCGUGAAGAGGCACAAGUCAAGCAGGAGGUGGGCAUCACCGGAGGAGCACAACCGCAUGGGGAGCGGAGGAGGUCGAUGCAGGGGGCGCAAUAG